GUACCUACCCUGUACCUAUGUUCUGUGAAACCGUACAGAGAAGAUAACGUAGCCCCAUACACAGGAAUGACACGCAAAUUCAUUAAGUACUCUACAUUUUU
rnacentral:snRNA from 1 species